rnacentral:misc_RNA from 1 species
GCAAACUUGGUCAUUUAGAGGAAGUACAAGUCGUAACAAGGUUUCCGUAGGUGAACCUGCGGAAGGAUCAUUAACAAAUCAAAAGAGGUGUGUGGAUGUGUAUAUUUUUGUAUGCACAUGUCACACACUAAAUUUGUGCUCCAAGCUAGUCUUGGUUGCAUCAUAUUCAUGAAUUUAUUGUUUAGUGUCAUAUUAUAACAAGUAAUCUAUUAAUACUUUUAACAAUGGAUCUCUUGGCUCUUGCAUCGAUGAAGAACGCAGC